rnacentral:rRNA from 1 species
CGUUAAAUCGACCGCCUGGGAGUACGGCGCAAGGUUAAAACUCAAAUGAAUUGACGGGGGCCCGCACAAGCGGUGGAGCAUGUGGUUUAUUUCGAUGCAACGCGAAGAACCUUACCUACUCUUGACAUCCAGAGAACUUGGCAGAGAUGCCUUGGUGCCUUCGGGAACUCUGAGACAGGUGCUGCAUGGCCGUCGUCAGCUCGUGUUGUGAAAUGUUGGGUUAAGUCCCGCAACGAGCGCAACCCUUAUCCUUUGUUGCCAGCGAUUCGGUCGGGAACUCAAAGGAGACUGCCAGUGAUAAACUGGAGGAAGGUGGGGAUGACGUCAAGUCAUCAUGGCCCUUACGAGUAGGGCUACACACGUGCUACAAUGGCGUAUACAAAGAGAAGCGACCUCGCGAGAGCAAGCGGACCUCAAAAAGUACGUCGUAGUCCGGAUUGGAGUCUGCAACUCGACUCCAUGAAGUCGGAAUCGCUAGUAAUCGUAGAUCAGAAUGCUACGGUGAAUACGUUCCCGGGCCUUGUACACACCGCCCGUCACACCAUGGGAGUGGGUUGCAAAAGAAGUAGGUAGCUUAACCUUCGGGAGGGCGCUUACCACUUUGUGAUUCAUGACUGGGGUGAAGUCGUAACAAGGUAACCAAGGGCGAAUUCCAG